UCAGCCUGGGUGUCACUGGGAUCCUACCGGGAUUCCCUUGGGAUCAUGUUGGGAUCGUUCCAGGGAUCGCCGGGAAUCAGCCUGGGUGUCACCCACCGGGAUCCGGGAAGGGGUCAGCGGGGCACAGCAGGAUCAGCCGAGGGAUUGCCGGGAUCUCCUCCAGGUCAUUUCCCAUCUUCCCACUCCCUGGGAGAGCUCCUCCAUGGAAUGGUGCCAGAGCACUUCAGGAGACCCAGCUGCUUCUGGGAUGCCUGUUCACAUGGAAUCCUCCAAACCACAUUUACAGCUUCCAAUAUUGACAUUUCUGGGAUUUCCCCAGAUUGGGGAGCAUGGUGUGAGCAGGAGAGACCCACAGGGAUGAGGUGGGAAGCAGAGGAGGGAUGGAUAUAGGGAAGAAAAGCUUAGUUCCAGUCAUGUAGAAGCAUUUUCUUGGGAAAUCCAGCCUGGCCUGGAUUCCCAGCAGCUUUUUGAUCCUCUGGAAUUGGAUCAUUACAAGGAAAUGGCAAUUUCUGAGAUGUUCUCCAAUGCCCUUCUAGGGGGAAGAUGCAGUUAUGGGGACAGAGGGAAGCUCCAACAAAUUCAAGCAAACUGAGCACCAUGGAUUCAUUCACUUUCCCAGUCUUCCAUGUAAAUGGGGGUGGCAUGUGGAAAAUCUGGGAUGCCUGAAUUGGGGAUGCUCCUACCAUGGCUGGUGCUGGUUUUGGCAGUGGGAUGUUCCUGACAGCUGUGGGGUAUGGGGUGUUGACUUUGGGGUUUCCAGCUUUCUCCUUCCAGCUUCCCAAACAGUUUUGAGGGAGCUGGAGGGGCUCGUCCUGGAGAAGAGGAGGCUCAGGGGGCACCUUCUGGCUCCCUGCAAUUCCCUGGAAGAAGGUUGGAGCCAGGAGGGGUCUGGCUCUGCUCCCAGGCAGAUCCAACAGGCCAAGCCAUGACUUGUUGCUCCAAUGGGAACAGGCCUAGGAGUGCUGCAGCUCAAGCACCAGGAAAGAGGGAAUCAGGAGCAGCCUGGGUU